rnacentral:rRNA from 1 species
AUUGAACGCUGGCGGCAGGCUUAACACAUGCAAGUCGAACGAGUGGCGGACGGGUGAGUAAUGUCUGGGAAACUGCCUGAUGGAGGGGGAUAACUACUGGAAACGGUAGCUAAUACCGCAUACCAUCGGAUGUGCCCAGAUGGGAUUAGCUAGUAGGUGGGGUAAGGGCUCACCUAGGCGACGAUCCCUAGCUGGUAUGAGGGGAUGACCAGCCACGCUGGACCUGCGACCCGGUCCAGACUGCUACGGGAGGCAGCAGUGGGGAAUAUUGCACAAUGGGCGCAAGCCCGAUGCAGCCAUGCCGCGUGUAUGAAGAAGGCCUUCGGGUUGUAAAGUACUUUCAGCGUGGAAGCGUUACCCGCAGAAGAAGCACCGGCUAACUCCGUGCCAGCAGCCGCGGUAAUAC